AAUCAGUCGAAUCAGCGGUCCCUACUGAUGAGGCUACGGAAUUAGCCGAAACUGACC
rnacentral:hammerhead_ribozyme from 15 species